rnacentral:rRNA from 1 species
AAAGCGAGCGGCGGAUGGGUGAGUAACACGUGGGGAACCUGCCCCUAAGUCUGGGACACCAUUUGGAAACAGGUGCUAAUACCGGAUAAUAAAGCAGAUCGCAUGAUCAGCUUUUGAAAGGCGGCGUAAGCUGUCGCUAAGGGAUGGCCCCGCGGUGCAUUAGCUAGUUGGUAAGGUAACGGCUUACCAAGGCGACGAUGCAUAGCCGAGUUGAGAGACUGAUCGGCCACAUUGGGACUGAGACACGGCCCAAACUCCUACGGGAGGCAGCAGUAGGGAAUCUUCCACAAUGGACGCAAGUCUGAUGGAGCAACGCCGCGUGAGUGAAGAAGGUUUUCGGAUCGUAAAGCUCUGUUGUUGGUGAAGAAGGAUAGAGGCAGUAACUGGCCUUUAUUUGACGGUAAUCAACCAGAAAGUCACGGCUAACUACGUGCCAGCAGCCGCGGUAAUACGUAGGUGGCAAGCGUUGUCCGGAUUUAUUGGGUGUAAAGCGAGCGCAGGCGGAAAAAUAAGUCUAAUGUGAAAGCCCUCGGCUUAACCGAGGAACUGCAUCGGAAACUGUUUUUCUUGAGUGCAGAAGAGGAGAGUGGAACUCCAUGUGUAGCGGUGGAAUGCGUAGAUAUAUGGAAGAACACCAGUGGCGAAGGCGGCUCUCUGGUCUGCAACUGACGCUGAGGCUCGAAAGCAUGGGUAGCGAACAGGAUUAGAUACCCUGGUAGUCCAUGCCGUAAACGAUGAGUGCUAAGUGUUGGGAGGUUUCCGCCUCUCAGUGCUGCAGCUAACGCAUUAAGCACUCCGCCUGGGGAGUACGACCGCAAGGUUGAAACUCAAAGGAAAUUGACGGGGGCCCCGCACAAGC